UACAGAGGGGGCAAGCGUUGUUCGGAAUUACUGGGCGUAAAGGGCGCGUAGGCGGCCUGUUAAGUCGAACGUGAAAUCCCCGGGCUCAACCCGGGAACUGCGUCCGAUACUGGCAGGCUUGAAUCCGGGAGAGGGAUGCGGAAUUCCAGGUGUAGCGGUGAAAUGCGUAGAUAUCUGGAGGAACACCGGUGGCGAAGGCGGCAUCCUGGACCGGCAUUGACGCCUGAGGCGCGAAAGCCAGGGGAGCAAACGGG
rnacentral:rRNA from 1 species